rnacentral:rRNA from 1 species
GACGAACGCUGGCGGCGUGCUUAACACAUGCAAGUCACGGGGGGCCCGCAAGGGUCAACCGGCGAACGGGUGCGUAACACGUGAGCGACCUGCCCAAUUGCGGGGGAUAGCCGGCCCAACGGCCGGGUAAUACCGCAUACGCUUCCCUGGGGGCAUUCUUGGGGAAGGAAACCUACGGGGCGAUUGGAGGGGCUCGCGGCCUAUCAGCUAGUUGGCGAGGUAACGGCUCACCAAGGCGAUGACGGGUAGCUGGUCUGAGAGGAUGGCCAGCCACAUUGGGACUGAGAGACGGCCCAGACUCCUACGGGAGGCAGCAGUGGGGAAUCUUGCGCAAUGGCCGAAAGGCUGACGCAGCGACGCCGCGUGGAGGAUGACGCCCUUCGGGUGGUAACGUACCUCGUUGUCCCCGGGGACCGGAAACGUAGCCCGUCGUUUCGGUACCAGGAGUGACGGUACCGGGUGAGGAAGGACGACCGGCGUAACUACUGUGCCAGCAGCCGCGGUAA